GGCCCGGGAAGGCGGCUUGAGUCGGGGUCGAUGGAUAGGAGAGCUGCAUCCUGGGGAGAUUGCGGCUGGCUACAGCAUUAGGAGUGGUCCUCCAAGUCCAGGCUGAAGACGUCCCUGCCUGGGGAAGUAAGAUACAAAGGGGCAAAUCAGGAGCCAGCCUUGUGUUACCUUGGGAUACACAGACACCUGUUCAAGGCUGCUGGGAAGACGAGUGGUGUGCUCACCUGCUUUUAUUUCCUUCUGUAACACCAUCAGAGGGAGUCUCAGAGAACCCAGGAGGAAGAGAAAAGAAACUGUUUGCAAAGGCAAAAGAUAAAAAGAAACCCGGAUGAUAGAGGGAAUGAAA
rnacentral:lncRNA from 1 species